rnacentral:rRNA from 1 species
GAUGAACGCUGGCGGCGUGCCUAAUACAUGCAAGUCGAGCGAACAGAUAAGGAGCUUGCUCCUUUGACGUUAGCGGCGGACGGGUGAGUAACACGUGGGUAACCUACCUAUAAGACUGGUAUAACUCCGGGAAACCGGGGCUAAUGCCGGAUAACAUUUAGAACCGCAUGGUUCUAUAGUGAAAGAUGGUUUUGCUAUCACUUAUAGAUGGACCCGCGCCGUAUUAGCUAGUUGGUAAGGUAACGGCUUACCAAGGCAACGAUACGUAGCCGACCUGAGAGGGUGAUCGGCCACACUGGAACUGAGACACGGUCCAGACUCCUACGGGAGGCAGCAGUAGGGAAUCUUCCGCAAUGGGCGAAAGCCUGACGGAGCAACGCCGCGUGAGUGAUGAAGGUCUUCGGAUCGUAAAACUCUGUUAUUAGGGAAGAACAAAUGUGUAAGUAACUGUGCACGUCUUGACGGUACCUAAUCAGAAAGCCACGGCUAACUACGUG